GAUCAUGGCUCAGGAUGAACGCUGGCGGCGUGCUUAACACAUGCAAGUCGAACGAAGAUACUUAAAAUGAGAGCUUCGGCAGGAUUUUUAUUUAUCUUAGUGGCGGACGGGUGAGUAACGCGUGGGUAACCUGCCUCAUACAGGGGGAUAACGAUUGGAAACGAUUGCUAAUACCGCAUAAGCGCACAGUACCACAUGGUGCAGUGUGAAAAACUCCGGUGGUAUGAGAUGGACCCGCG
rnacentral:rRNA from 1 species